rnacentral:misc_RNA from 1 species
GAAGAAGAAGAACAACAACAACAAUCGAGGGAAGAAACUGAAGAAGAAGAAGAACCUCCAGUUGUGAAGAGAUCCAUCACUCAGAAACCAGUCAAAACCGCUCAGAAGCUCCAAUUUUCUUCUGAGUCCGACAGCGAGAAUGGGUCAGGUUCCGAAUCGAAAAAAUCGGAUCAUUCCCCGCCUUCCCCUUUUGUAUCAGAUUUCACCAUUAAGCCGAUUGUUUCUGCCCCAUCGAAAUCAGCAGGAAAGAGGCCGCAAGAAGCCCAGAAAGAGAAAGGGAGGAAGAAG